rnacentral:rRNA from 1 species
GUCGAACGUAGCCUGGACUUUAGUCUGGUGGCGAGUAGCGAACGGUUGAACAAUGUAUCGGAACGUGCCUAUUAGCGGGGGAUAACUACGCGAAAGCGUAGCUAAUACCGCAUACGCCCUUCGAGGGAAAGCGGGGACCUUCAGAUAUCGCACUAUUGAAGCGGCCGAUAUCCGGAUUAGCUAGUUGGUGGGUAACGGCUACCAGGCGGCCGAUCCCGUAGCUGGUUUGAGGACGACCAGCCACACUGGACUUCGAGACACGGCCCAGACUCUACGGGAGGCAGCAGUGAAGAUUUUGGACAAUGGAAACCCUGAUCCAGCCAUCCCGCGUGUGCGAUGAAGGCCUUCGGGUUAUCGCUUACUUUUGGCAGGAAGAAACGGCACGGGAUAAUACCCCGUGCAACUGACUGAUACCUGCAGAAUAAGCACCGGCCCAACUACGUGCCAGCGGCUGCAGUAAUACGUAAGUGCAAGCGUUAAUCGGAAUUACGGAGCUUAAAGCGUGCGCAGGCGGUUCGGAAGAAAGAUGUGAAAUCCAGAGCUUAACUUUGGAACUGCAUUUUUUUAACUACCGAGCUAGAGUGUCGAGAGGAGGUGGAAUUCCGCGUGUAGCGGUGAAGCUGCGUGAUGCGGAGAACACCGAUAGCGAAAGGCGGCACCUCCUGGGAUAACACUGACGCUCAUGCACCAAGCACGUGGGGAGCGACAGGUUAGAUGCCACCCUGGUAGUCCACGCCCUAAACGAUGUCGGCAGCAGCAUUUGGGGUGGCCGGGCCUUGGUAGCGCAACUAACGCGUGAAGUUGACCGCCUGAAGAAGUACGGUCGCAGAUUAAAACUCAAAGGAAUUGACGAAGGACCCACACCAACGGUGGAUGAUGUGGAUUAAUUCGAUGCAGCGCGCGAAAAACCUUACCUACGCUUGACAUGUCUGGAAUCCCGAAGAGAUUUGGGGGUGCUCGCAAGAGAACCGGAGCACAGGUGCGCAUGGCUGUCGUCAGCUCGUGUCGUGAGAUGUUGGGUUAAGUCCGCAACAGGCGCAACCCUUGUCAUUAGUUGCUACGAAGGGCACUCUAAUGAGACUGCCGGUGACAAACCGGAGGAAGGUGGGGAUGACGUCAAAUCCUCAUGGCCCUUAUGGGUAGGGCUUCACACAUCAUACAAUGGUCGGGACAAGAGGUCGCCGCCAACCCGCGAGGGGGAGCCAAUCGAAGCGAUCGUGAGUCCGGAUCGCAGUCUGCAACUCGGCACAGCAUUGAAGUCGGGGAAUCCUUUAGUAAUCGCGGAUCAGCAUGUCGCGGUGAAUACAUUCCCGGGUCUUGUACACACCGCCCGUCACACCAUGGGAGUGGGUUUUACCAGAAGUAGUUAGCCUAACCGUAAGGAGGGCGAUUACCACCAUUAGGAUUCAUGACUGGGGUGAAGUCGUAAUAAGGUAA